rnacentral:lncRNA from 1 species
GUAGAGAGCUUGCAAGGGAGACUUAUGCAUGGGUUUAGCAUUCUAAUUGGGACUUGGAAUCAUGCUUCAUAUAGUAGACAUGACAAAUGUAAUAUGCCUUAGACAUAAAUCUCAUUGGACAUAGGAGAAUGCAUUAGGCCAUAAAGUGGCUUUGGACUUGAAUAACAUGUGAGUUAGGGAGCUAAUGUCGUAAUGCGACAUCGGGCUUGAGCUAUGAAUGAGCCUAGCAAAGUAAUGCCUUAAAGAGGCAUUAGACUUGAAUGAUAUGUAAAUUGCAUGUGCAUGUUAAUAUUAUGAGAAUUAUGCUAAGUUGGUAGUUGUAUUGUAGAGUUUAUGCAUGUAGCAUUGUGAAAACUAUGCUAAGUUGAUAGUUGCAUACGAAUGCUUUGAAACCAUAUGCUAGUGGAUAGAUGCAUAUUAAUAUUUAUAUGCAUUGAGGAAUACAUGCUAGAUACAUAUUAGCAAUGUGAGAUUAUGCUAGAGAGCAUGCGUAUUUAACCUAUUAUUGGUAUAUUAAGCUAAUGUCAUAAAGCGACAUUGAGCUUGGGACAUGUAUGAACCUAGUAAGCUAAUGUCAUGAAGAGACAUUGGGCUUGGAAUUGGGGUAGUAAGCUAAUGCCAUAAGAGGCAUUAGGCUUGGAGUACAUAUGGACUUAAUAAAUCUAAGGUCACAUAAGACAUUGGAAUCAUUGACAUAGUAAACCUUCACUUGAGGCAUAAACUAGACCUAUGGAUUGCUAGUAAGUAAUUCCAUAUUUUAGACAUGAGGACUUGAUCCACCAGACAGCCUUCGGGUGGGUCUCACACUAGACAGCCUUCGGGUGGGUCUUAUCAGAGUUGAACUUUAAAUAGUUAAAGUGCCAUGUGGACAUUGACUAGAANAACAGUAAACAAUAAGUGAUAAACACUAUUUGAUUGUGUAUCGUGGUUGGAUUCUGUUGACAUUGGGAAUUGUGGUAUCCUUAAUUGCCACGAUAGUAUACUUCGUAGUAUUACUUGUUGCAUCACAGCUUUUGGGUAGCCAUGGUAGGGCAUACCUGUUAUGCAUCAGCAUAUCGGAUUCAUGAUAGAGUAGAUGUACUCCACGUUCAUAUCAUGUAUACUUGUGGCAUAGUAGAAUAGCAUUUCAAUAUAUGCUUAUAUUUCCGCAGUUGUUAUUUCGUUAUCUAUAUCUGCUCUUGACUUGGGCCUAGUGGAGCUUUUUGCUAAUUAAGGUCAGUAAUUGCUCACUGGGAACUAUAAAUUAUCGUUCUCACGCCCUCUGUUUUAUGUUUUCAUUCAGAGCCUUCCACCCCAGGAGAGGCUUGGGAUCGCGGGAAAGGAAUCGCCUCGAGUUAGCUAGCGAGGGAUUGGUGGAUCGGUAGUCUACAUCUCUUUUGUUUCUUUUGGAGAGGUUGAGAGACUUGUACCAUUUUGUAGAGACCACCCACUAUUUGUAUUUUGAGACUUAUGAUGUACUACUUUACAUUUUACUUUAGCAGUCUAGUUUCUGUGGUUUCUACUGGUUAAUAGAACCUAGCUAUAUACUUGCUCUGAUAUCUCUAGAUAUUCUCUAUUUAUUGUUCUUUUAUUCGCUAUUGUUGUAGACGCCUUAUAUGUGCAGGCAUAUGGCGGGUCUGGGCACGCACCGGGCAGGCCUAUGCCGGUUCUCGGGGCGUGACAGAUUAGUUUGGUAUCAGAGCCUAGGGUUGAGUCUUAGGGGACCUAGCAAACCUUAGGCUGGUUGGACUAUAGGAAAUAGGCUCGUGAGAGACGAGGUCUAUUUGACAUGUAAGCGAAAGUAUCUCGAUUGGGUAUCUUGGAACAGCUCUAGAAAGUGGAGUUAAAUUGAAGUGUAUAGCCUCUAACUUCGCGGAGGGUUACGUUGGCGGUCGACAACGUAACAUCGGGAGUUAGUAGUGAAUCACACUUCCUUACUUUCGCCUGAUUUCGGUAUUAUCUUUGAGCGGGGAUGCGAUAGCGUGGGUUUCAUUAACUUGCGCUUUUAUGAUGUUGUAGUGCGAUGCCGAUUACACGCUCCCAGUCUGUCGGAGCGGAUGACGCGGCACACUUUGAGGAGGUGGAGACCUCCGCUACUUCCGUAUCCGGCGAGGUCCGUGAGUUGAGAGGCCAGCUUGCGGCCCUUACCGACUUAGUUACGCAGCAGACGAAGGCGGCGCGCCGACAGGAGGCGCGAAUGAAGCGCCUGGAGGACCUACUGUUGCAGCAGGCGGCAGCCUCUAGGGAGACUCAGGCCCCUCCACCGCCCGCACCAGUUGUAAACGUUGCACCGAGAGCGUCGUCCCCCGCGCCCAGUUCUUCGCGCACAGCGCCCGUGGCCGCGCCCCAGGAGAGGGUUAUUGCGGCGCCACCUGUUCAGGCACCCCCGACUGGAGCUAUUUUCCCCGUGAUGGUUGAAGGGGCAGAGCGGGACCGACUGAUAGAGCGCCUCAACGAGUUCAAGAGGUGCGGUCCCCGGAUCUUUGACGGCAAGAAGGUCGACCACUGGGUCGUGGAAAAGUGGUUGAUGCAUGUGGAGAAACUCUUCCGCGACACCUUCGUAGAGAAGAGAGAUCGAGUUUGGCUCGCCACACAUCACCUGGACGGCGAGGCCUACCGCUGGUGGUUGGAUCUCCAAGAGAACCCCAGCAUCGACUUGGCGGCGAUUUCAUGGAAGAAGUUCAAGGAGCUUCUAUUGGCGCACUACUUCCCGACUAGUGUCAAGCGAAAGAUGGAGCAGGAUUUGCGCAACCUGCACCAGGGAGAUCGGACUGUAGCCGAGUACGAGCGGGAGUAUUCUCGGCUUCUGCAUUGCGCGCCCUUCGUCGUGCGAGACGACGAGGAUAAGGCCCGCAUUUUCGAGCAAGGUUUGCGACCGUCGAUUUUCCGGUUCGUGCAAUCCUCUAACCUCCAAACCUACCGGGAGGUGGUGGAUCGCGCGCUCAUCGUGGAGAGCUGCGCGGCAGAGGUACAGGAGCGGCGAGAGGCCAUCGAUAAGGGAAAGGCCAAGAGGCCUGCGGCUGAGGGUGCGAGUCCGACGCACUCUAGGAGACCGCCGAAGCAUCCUAGGAGCCAGCAGCGUGGACACGACUCAGCGGCGCAGCGAGGAGGUUCUGACCGUCGCCGGCCUUCCCCGUGUGUGAUUUGCGGUGGUCCUCAUUUCCCACCGCAAUGUUCGCAGCGGGCUGGCAGGUGCUUCCGAUGUGGCCAGGAUGGCCACGUUCGAGCUGAGUGCCCGAGAGGUUCGUCACUAGCACCGUCGACUGCAUCGGCACCAGCUCUACCAGCCGCUAGCCAAGGGACUAUGUCGACACCGUACCAGCCUAGGCGGCUACCCGUCCAGCGUCUGAGCGAGGGAUCUUGUCAGGCCCCGAGUGGGCGCAUGUACGCCGCUCAGACCGCGGAGGCAACAGCGGCCGAGUUUGUGGCUACAGGUAUCAGUUGUUUUUGUGACAUCCGAAUUGUGCGUUGUUGAUUAUCGUUGCAUCGUUUGCAUCCUUUGAUCGGCUGUUUGCCGAGUUGCAUGGCAUCCUAUUAGAUCUGUUGCUUACGAGACGCGUGUUUCUCCGACCACUCCUUGGACAUUAGAGAGUUUGCCCUGUCGCCCUAUUUGGGACAAGAGGAGGUUGUGUACCGAGGAUGCCAGAGCUCGCUGUUUGCGAUGACUUUCAGCUCUCUUGAGCUAGGCGGUUGAUUUGCGGGUUGUGGGUGGCAUGUUUUCCUAUGCCUUGUGAAUCACACGAUGAUUGCAUUAGUUGCAUCCCGUGAUCGGCUGUUCGCCGGAUGGUGCUUGGAGACGACCGUGCCUGGACCGUUUGUGGACUGUGGAGCCUGGGCCCUUUGGGCAGGCGCAGUCAGCUAUGUGUGACAGCGACCCGGUACCUACGGGUCGGGCAGAGUUUGGUCAGGACGGUAGUCCGAGCUUUGACUUUGGAGCGUGGAAUGCCACGUGUUGGAUCGUGAGAUCGAGGAUACACCGAGUGUGUGGUGACCCAACCCGAGGAUUUUGUUACCGUUGAACUUUUUCGACGCUUGUAGGAUGAUCUGUUGAUCAGGUGUGUCGUCUCGAACACCCUACCACGUGAGAUGGUUUUGUGUGCCGACAAAUGGAUUGGCCUUGUUUGAUGUUGGAGUUGUUGUGGGUACCUAGUACUCUUGGAUUGCGAGCUGACUUGACUCGCCUUGAGAAUUUUUUUUGUGCACGAAAUAGUGCGGUUUGAGGAUUUAUUUUCGCUGGUUGUGUUGAUUAUCACCUUACCUAAAAUCGGGUAAUUACUGGGGAGGAUAGUAUUUAUGGUUCGUUAGAGCAUGUCGUGUUGGACAACGACGUCGAGUGUUGCUUGGAGACGACCAUGCCUGGACCGUUUGUGGACUGUGGAGCCUGGGCCCUUUGGGCAGGCGCAGUCAGUUGUGUGUGACAGCGACCCUGUACCUACGGGUGGGGCAGAGUUUGGUCAAGACGGUAGUUCGAGCUUAGACCGGGGAGCAUAGAAUGCCACGUAUUGGAUCUUGGAUAGCUAUGUGGAAUCUGAGGAUAAUGCUCUUUGGAGGACUGAAGGUGGAGAUGCGCUGGAGUGUGCCAUCUCACGGCAGAGCUAAAGUCCAUGUAGAAGUAGAGCACUCACAAGGGAGCAAUGCACCUGCGAUAUUGCUUCUAAGCAAUGCCGGUUAUUGAAUCGCAGUGUGUUCUCUUGGGAGAAGUAUGCUAAUGUCUUCAAUGGCUCGAUAGGUCGAGUUGAGGUGUGAUUGAAGUUUCGAGGACGAAACUCUUUUUAAGAGGUGGAGAAUGUAGCAUACCGAAUUUCUUUUUAAUAAAAGCGAAUAAAUAAAAAUAGUGUGAGAUACUAUUUUUAUUGGAUUUAGACAAGUAAAUUAUACGUCAGGAUUGACUCGUGCGGAAAUCGGAGUGAAAAUAGAAGAUUGAGAAUUUUCUGUAAGAGACGGGGCUGAUAUUUUAGCAGAAAAUGCAUAGUGUCAGAAAAUUCCGAAAAUUUGGAAAUAUGUUAGGAUUAUUUUUAUGAGGCUAGAUUUAAAGUUUCAUGUCAUUCUGACACCCGGAAGGUGGAGAAUAAAAUCCGAUUGUUAUCUGCUUGAGAUUACUGUUCGAAAUAGCUUUCGGUGACCAAAUGGGGUCGAAACUGAAAGAUUAAAAUUUCUUUCAUUAAGUUAGGUAAAACUGAUCAUGACUGCCAAAUUUGUGCUCAAUCGGACGUUUAGAAGGGCAGACGAAAAAUAUCUGUACCUGAGCUACAAACUGAUGUGAAUAGUAUUUUGGGAGUAUAUAUAUGUGAACUUGCACUCUUUUUCUCAUUUGUGCCCAACCCGAGAGAGGCUUGGAGAGCAAGUUUCUUUUCUCUUUUUCUCUCUUUCUCUCUAUUUCUCACCCCUCACUCCUUUUCUCUUCUAAUCUCUCCACAAAAGAGGAUUAAUUGGAGAAGAAGUUGGAGUAGAAUCCUUGAAAGUUGGAGAGUAGCUUGGAGCAAGUUUCAUUUCUUCUCUCUAAUUAGAGAAAUUUUGGAGGUAAUUUGGUAGUAACUUGCGCUGGAUAUGCUAAGGAAUGAGUCGUAUGCUUUAGGAAUAUGGGUUCUAGAGAAUCCUAGAUGCUGACUAGCUUAUAAUUGCGUGAAUCAAGUUUCCAAUUUGUGAUUUCUUUAGUCUAAUAGUAGCAUGUGUAAGUUCAAUAUUGUUUUGCAUUCUGUAGAGUUUGAUCUAAUUGAACCUAUGCCGAACUAAUUGUUAGGUAUGACGAACGCGCUGGCCGGAAGUCGGUUCGCGAUACGACGAGGCUAACGCGAAGAUAUUGAAAAAAGGCCGAUUCUGGUACAGAUGUCGCAGCUCACGACGUAAGUUCAAAAUCACGAAACCGCGGAAUCGUAGCAUCGUGACAUCACUAAAGUCUUGAGCUAAUGAGCAUCGGGGCCGCCGUCCGGCGGCAAGAAAGAUCGCGGUGGAGCUCUCGGUGGGUUUGACUCGUUACAAUAACAAAUUAUUUUAUGUGAUUUAAGUAUCUUAAAAUAAAAAUCACGUAUUUUUAUGAUAGAUUGCAUUUAUUGUGAAUUUAGAACUUGAAAUGCGUAUGUUAUUAUUAAAUUGCAUUUUUUCGGAUCUUUCUAUGUAAGUAAGAGUUGCAAGGAGACUUAUGCAUGGGUAUAUGCUUCUAAUUAGACUGACAUCAUGCUUCAUAUAGAUAACAAUGACAAAUGUUAAUAUGCCUUACAACAUAAACUCAUUGGAACAUAUGGAGAAAUGCAUUAGGCAUAAAGUGGCUUUGGAUGGAAUAACAUGUGAGUUAGGGAGCUAAUGUCGCAAGUGCGAUCAUCUGGCUGAGCUAUGAAUGAGCUAGCAAAUAAUAGCCUAAAGAGGCAUUAGACUGGAAUAUAUGUAAAUUGGCAUGUGACAUGUUAUAUAUUAUGAGAAAUGCUAAGUUGUAGUUGUAUUGUAGAGUUUAUCAUGUAGUCAUUUUAAAAACUAUCUAAGUUGAUAUUGCCAUCAAGGUACGCUGAAACCAUUAUGCUGAGUGGAAAGAUGCAUAUUAAUAUUUAUAUACAUUGAGAAUACAUCUAGAUACAUAUUACAAUGUGAGCUUAUGCUGAGAUGACCAUGUGUAUUACCUAUUAUUGUAUAUAAGCUAAUGUCAUUUAAGCGACAUUGAGCUUGAACCAUGUUAUGAACGCUAGUAAGUAAUUCAUAAGAAGACAUUGGCUUGGAAAUUGGAUAGUAAGUUAAUGCCUAUAAAUUUGCAUUUAGGCUUGAAGUAGUGUAUGGACUUAGUAAAUCUAAGGUCAAAUAAGACAUUGGAAUCAUUGACAUAGUAAACCUUCACUUGAGGCAUAGACUAGACCUAUGGGUUGCUAGUGAGUAAUUCCAUGUUUUAGACAUGAGGACUUGAUACACCAGACAGCCUUCGGGUGGGUCUCACACCAGACAGCCUUCGGGUGGGUCUUAUCAGAGUUGAAAUUUAAAUAGUUAAAGUGCCAUGUGGACAUUGACACAGUAAACAAUAAGUGAUAAACACUAUUUGAUUGUAUAUCGUGGUUGGAUUCUGUUGACAUUGGGAAUUGUGGUAUCCUUAAUUGCCACGAUAGUAUACUUCGUAGUAUUACUUGUUGCAUCACAGCUUUUGGGUAGCCAUGGUAGGGCAUACCUGUUAUGCAUCAGCAUAUCGGAUUCAUGAUAGAGUAGAUGUACUCCACGUUCAUAUCAUGUAUACUUGUAGCAUAGUAGAAUAGCAUUUCAAUAUAUGCAUAUAUUUCCGCAGUUGUUAUUUCUCUAUCUAUAUCUGCUCUUGAUUUGGGCCUAGUGGUGCAUUUUGUGAAGGUCAGUAAUUACCCACUGGAAACUAUAAAUUAUAGUUCUUACGCCCCAUUGUUUAUGUUUUCUUUCAGAGCCUUCCACUCCGGGAGAGGCUCGGGAUCGCGGGAAAGGAAUCGCCUCGAGUUAGCUAGCGAGGGAUUGGUUGAUCGGUGGUCUACCGCUCUUUUGUUUCUUUUAGAGAGGUUGAGAGACUUGUACCAUUUUGUAGAGACCACCCACUAUUUGUAUUUUGAGACUUAUGAUGUACUACUUUACAUUUUACUUUAGCAGUCUAGCUUCUGUGGUUUCUACUGGUUAAUAGAACCUAG